AUGCUCACUUCAGCAGCACAUAUGCUAAAAUGGAACGAUACAGAGAUUAGCAUGACCCCUGCACAAGGAUGAUAUACAAAUUCAGAAGCACUCUAUAAUUUU